UUAAGCGACUAAGCGUACACGGUGGAUGCCCUGGCAGUCAGAGGCGAUGAAGGACGUGCUAAUCUGCGAUAAGCGUCGGUAAGGUGAUAUGAACCGUUAUAACCGGCGAUUUCCGAAUGGGGAAACCCAGUGUGUUUCGACACACUAUCAUUAACUGAAUCCAUAGGUUAAUGAGGCGAACCGGGGGAACUGAAACAUCUAAGUACCCCGAGGAAAAGAAAUCAACCGAGAUUCCCCCAGUAGCGGCGAGCGAACGGGGAGCAGCCCAGAGCCUGAAUCAGUGUGUGUGUUAGUGGAAGCGUCUGGAAAGGCGCGCGAUACAGGGUGACAGCCCCGUACACAAAAAUGCACAUGCUGUGAGCUCGAUGAGUAGGGCGGGACACGUGGUAUCCUGUCUGAAUAUGGGGGGACCAUCCUCCAAGGCUAAAUACUCCUGACUGACCGAUAGUGAACCAGUACCGUGAGGGAAAGGCGAAAAGAACCCCGGCGAGGGGAGUGAAAAAGAACCUGAAACCGUGUACGUACAAGCAGUGGGAGCACAGAGCAAUCUGUGUGACUGCGUACCUUUUGUAUAAUGGGUCAGCGACUUAUAUUCUGUAGCAAGGUUAACCGAAUAGGGGAGCCGAAGGGAAACCGAGUCUUAACUGGGCGUUAAGUUGCAGGGUAUAGACCCGAAACCCGGUGAUCUAGCCAUGGGCAGGUUGAAGGUUGGGUAACACUAACUGGAGGACCGAACCGACUAAUGUUGAAAAAUUAGCGGAUGACUUGUGGCUGGGGGUGAAAGGCCAAUCAAACCGGGAGAUAGCUGGUUCUCCCCGAAAGCUAUUUAGGUAGCGCCUCGUGAAUUCAUCUCCGGGGGUAGAGCACUGUUUCGGCAAGGGGGUCAUCCCGACUUACCAACCCGAUGCAAACUGCGAAUACCGGAGAAUGUUAUCACGGGAGACACACGGCGGGUGCUAACGUCCGUCGUGAAGAGGGAAACAACCCAGACCGCCAGCUAAGGUCCCAAAGUCAUGGUUAAGUGGGAAACGAUGUGGGAAGGCCCAGACAGCCAGGAUGUUGGCUUAGAAGCAGCCAUCAUUUAAAGAAAGCGUAAUAGCUCACUGGUCGAGUCGGCCUGCGCGGAAGAUGUAACGGGGCUAAACCAUGCACCGAAGCUGCGGCAGCGACGCUGAUGCGUUGUUGGGUAGGGGAGCGUUCUGUAAGCCUGCGAAGGUGUGCUGUGAGGCAUGCUGGAGGUAUCAGAAGUGCGAAUGCUGACAUAAGUAACGAUAAAGCGGGUGAAAAGCCCGCUCGCCGGAAGACCAAGGGUUCCUGUCCAACGUUAAUCGGGGCAGGGUGAGUCGACCCCUAAGGCGAGGCCGAAAGGCGUAGUCGAUGGGAAACAGGUUAAUAUUCCUGUACUUGGUGUUACUGCGAAGGGGGGACGGAGAAGGCUAUGUUGGCCGGGCGACGGUUGUCCCGGUUUAAGCGUGUAGGCUGGUUUUCCAGGCAAAUCCGGAAAAUCAAGGCUGAGGCGUGAUGACGAGGCACUACGGUGCUGAAGCAACAAAUGCCCUGCUUCCAGGAAAAGCCUCUAAGCAUCAGGUAACAUCAAAUCGUACCCCAAACCGACACAGGUGGUCAGGUAGAGAAUACCAAGGCGCUUGAGAGAACUCGGGUGAAGGAACUAGGCAAAAUGGUGCCGUAACUUCGGGAGAAGGCACGCUGAUAUGUAGGUGAAGUCCCUCGCGGAUGGAGCUGAAAUCAGUCGAAGAUACCAGCUGGCUGCAACUGUUUAUUAAAAACACAGCACUGUGCAAACACGAAAGUGGACGUAUACGGUGUGACGCCUGCCCGGUGCCGGAAGGUUAAUUGAUGGGGUUAGCGCAAGCGAAGCUCUUGAUCGAAGCCCCGGUAAACGGCGGCCGUAACUAUAACGGUCCUAAGGUAGCGAAAUUCCUUGUCGGGUAAGUUCCGACCUGCACGAAUGGCGUAAUGAUGGCCAGGCUGUCUCCACCCGAGACUCAGUGAAAUUGAACUCGCUGUGAAGAUGCAGUGUACCCGCGGCAAGACGGAAAGACCCCGUGAACCUUUACUAUAGCUUGACACUGAACAUUGAGCCUUGAUGUGUAGGAUAGGUGGGAGGCUUUGAAGUGUGGACGCCAGUCUGCAUGGAGCCGACCUUGAAAUACCACCCUUUAAUGUUUGAUGUUCUAACGUUGACCCGUAAUCCGGGUUGCGGACAGUGUCUGGUGGGUAGUUUGACUGGGGCGGUCUCCUCCUAAAGAGUAACGGAGGAGCACGAAGGUUGGCUAAUCCUGGUCGGACAUCAGGAGGUUAGUGCAAUGGCAUAAGCCAGCUUGACUGCGAGCGUGACGGCGCGAGCAGGUGCGAAAGCAGGUCAUAGUGAUCCGGUGGUUCUGAAUGGAAGGGCCAUCGCUCAACGGAUAAAAGGUACUCCGGGGAUAACAGGCUGAUACCGCCCAAGAGUUCAUAUCGACGGCGGUGUUUGGCACCUCGAUGUCGGCUCAUCACAUCCUGGGGCUGAAGUAGGUCCCAAGGGUAUGGCUGUUCGCCAUUUAAAGUGGUACGCGAGCUGGGUUUAGAACGUCGUGAGACAGUUCGGUCCCUAUCUGCCGUGGGCGCUGGAGAACUGAGGGGGGCUGCUCCUAGUACGAGAGGACCGGAGUGGACGCAUCACUGGUGUUCGGGUUGUCAUGCCAAUGGCACUGCCCGGUAGCUAAAUGCGGAAGAGAUAAGUGCUGAAAGCAUCUAAGCACGAAACUUGCCCCGAGAUGAGUUCUCCCUGACUCCUUGAGAGUCCUGAAGGAACGUUGAAGACGACGACGUUGAUAGGCCGGGUGUGUAAGCGCAGCGAUGCGUUGAGCUAACCGGUACUAAUGAACCGUGAGGCUUAACCU
rnacentral:rRNA from 1 species